GACGAACGCUGGCGGCGUGCUUAACACAUGCAAGUCGAACGGAAAGGCCCUGCUUUUGUGGGGUGCUCGAGUGGCGAACGGGUGAGUAACGCGUGAGUAACCUGCCCUUGACUUUGGGAUAACUUCAGGAAACUGGGGCUAAUACCGGAUAGGAGCUCCUGCUGCAUGGUGGGGGUUGGAAAGUUUCGGCGGUUGGGGAUGGACUCGCGGCUUAUCAGCUUGUUGGUGGGGUAGUGGCUUAUCAAGGCUUUGACGGGUAGCCGGCCUGAGAGGGUGACCGGCCACAUUGGGACUGAGAUACGGCCCAGACUCCUACGGGAGGCAGCAGUGGGGAAUAUUGCACAAUGGGCGGAAGCCUGAUGCAGCAACGCCGCGUGCGGGAUGACGGCCUUCGGGUUGUAAACCGCUUUCGCCUGUGACGAAGCGUGAGUGACGGUAAUGGGUAAAGAAGCACCGGCUAACUACGUG
rnacentral:rRNA from 1 species